AGCAACGUGAAAUCGACACUCUCACGGAAGCGUUGGGCACGAUGGCUCGCUCCGGCCUGGUGCGGAACCCAGCGGAGCGCAACAAGAAGCAGCUUGAGCUAGCCAUGGCCAGGGUGGCCUUGAAAAAAUCCGCGGAGGCCAGGGUGCUCCUUGAGCAAGACGCUGCC
rnacentral:rRNA from 11 species